UACGUAGGGUGCAAGCGUUAAUCGGAAUUACUGGGCGUAAAGCGUGCGCAGGCGGUUCGGAAAGAGAGGUGUGAAAUCCCAGGGCUUAACCUUGGAACUGCACUUCUAACUACCGGGCUAGAGUACGUCAGAGGGGGGUGAGAAUUCCACGUGUAGCAGUGAAAUGCGUAGAGAUGUGGAGGAAUACCGAUGGCGAACGGAGCAGCCCCCUGGGAUGAUACUGACGCUCAUGCACGAAAGCGUGGGGAGCAAACAGG
rnacentral:rRNA from 1 species